GAUGAAAUCAAACAAAGUUUAAUUUUGGACCCUUUGGGCCCCUUAUUCUGUUGGGACCAAAACUCCCAAAAUCAAUACCAACCUUCCUUUUAUGGUCAUAAACCUUGUGUUUAAAUUUCAUAGAUUUCUAUUUACUUAUACUAACGUUAUGGUGUGAAAACCAAGAAAAAUGCUUAUUUGGGUCCCUUUUUGGCCCCUAAUUCCUAAACUGUUGGGACCUCAACUCCCAAAAUCAAUACCAACCUUCCUUUUGUAGUCAUUAACAUUGUGUUUAAAUUUCAUUGAUUUCUAUUUACUUAAACUAAAGUUAUUGUGCGAAAACCAAGAAUAAUGCUUAUUUGGGCCCUUUUUUGGCCCCUAAUUCCUAAACUGUUGAAACCAAAACUCCCAAAAUCAAUCCCAACCGUUCUUUUGUGGUCAUAAACCUUGUGUCAAAAUUUCAUAGAUUUCUAUUAACUUCAACUAAAGUUAUAGUGCGAAAACCAAGAAAAUGCUUAUUUGGGCCCUUUUUGGCCCCUAAUUCCUAAAAUGUUGGGACCAAAACUCCCAAAAUCAAUACCAACCUUCCUUUUGUGGUCAUAAACCUUGUGUUAAAAUUUCAUAGAUUUCCAUUCACUUUUACUAAAGUUAGAGUGCGAAAACUAAAAGUAUUCGGACGACAACGAAGACGACGACGCAGACGACGACGCCAACGUGAUAGCAAUAUACGACGAAAAAUUUUUCAAAUUUUGCGGUCGUAUAAAAACUG
rnacentral:lncRNA from 1 species